UACGGAGGGUGCUAGCGUUGUUCGGAAUCACUGGGCGUAAAGGGCGUGUAGGCGGUCUGUUAAGUCUGGUGUGAAAUCCCCCCGCUCAACGGGGGAACGGCGCCGGAUACUGGCAGACUCGAGUACCGGAGAGGAAGGUGGAAUUCCCGGUGUAGCGGUGAAAUGCGUAGAUAUCAGGAGGAACACCGGUGGCGAAGGCGGGUCUCUGGGCCGAUACUGACGCUGAGGAGCGAAAGCGUGGGGAGCGAACAGG
rnacentral:rRNA from 1 species